CAUUAAAAAGCUUAAAGUAAGCAAUGAUCUCUUAAAUCAAUCAUAAUACCUCACGAUUAUUUUUAAUGG
rnacentral:tRNA from 1 species